GGGGCUAUAGCUCAGCUGGGAGAGCGCUUGCAUGGCAUGCAAGAGGUCGUCUGUUCGAUGACGUCUAGCUCCACCA
rnacentral:tRNA from 1 species